rnacentral:lncRNA from 1 species
AUCAACUGUUCGAUGGACUAAAUUGUAUCAUUUACUUCUAAACCAUCUCAAAAAAAUUUAGCCAAUAAUCUCUUGUGACAACAAAAUCUUAUAACAUCUUCAAUAGAAAAACAUAACUUCUUAAAUGCUGUCCUUAAUCUAUGGCAGAUAAUGCACUACAUUAGCCCGAUCUCUGGAACCAUCAAUUGAUAUCGAUCCUCCAUUAGAAAGAUCAAAUUUUAUAUAAAAACUAAGGCCAGC